rnacentral:rRNA from 1 species
AUAUUGCUAAGCGGUGGAAAAGAAACUAACAAGUAUUCCCGAAGUAACGGCGAGUGAAUCGGGAGAAGCCCAGCGCUGAAUCCACCGGCCCCUGGUCGGCUGGAGGUGUAGCGUAUAGGGGUCGCAUUCGGCAGUCGUGGCCACCGUAAGUUCCCUUGACCGGGACCAUAAUCCACGGAAGGUGCAAGACCUGUGAGGGUGGCGUCGCGGUCGUCUGUAGCCCCUGGGAGUCGGAUUGCCUGAGAUCGCAGUCCAAAGCGGGUGGUAAACGUCACCUAAGGCUAAAUAUGACCACGAGACCGAUAGCGCACAAGUA